CCUUAAUCUGCAGCAGUUGCUGCAAGAUUUCUACCCUUGUCUUUUGCGCACCUUUGUUUCCUCGGCUGCUCUGCCAGCCGCUAGGACACUUUAUAACCUUUUGUACUGUUAAAUCAGCGUCUGAAAAUAUGAAAUAAUUA
rnacentral:misc_RNA from 1 species